rnacentral:rRNA from 1 species
CCUACGGGUGGCAGCAGUGGGGAAUAUUGCACAAUGGGGGAAACCCUGAUGCAGCGACGCCGCGUGAGUGAAGAAGUAUUUCGGUAUGUAAAGCUCUAUCAGCAGGGAAGAAAAAAGACGGUACCUGACUAAGAAGCCCCGGCUAACUACGUGCCAGCAGCCGCGGUAAUACGUAGGGGGCAAGCGUUAUCCGGAUUUACUGGGUGUAAAGGGAGCGUAGACGGAGAAGCAAGUCUGAAGUGAAAGCCCGUGGCUUAACCACGGGACUGCUUUGGAAACUGUUUGACUAGAGUGCUGGAGAGGUAAGUGGAAUUCCUAGUGUAGCGGUGAAAUCCGUAGAUAUCUGGAGGAACAUCAGUGGCGAAGGCGACUAUCUGGCACAUAACUGACGCUGAGGAGCGAAAGCGUGGGUAGCAAACAGGAUUAGAUACCCUUGUAGUC